AGAGCGGGAGCCCGGAGAUGGGCACUGAGACAAGGGCCCAGGCCCUACGGGGCGCAGCAGUUGCGAAAACUCCGCAAUGCGCGAAAGCGUGACGGGGCUACCCCGAGUGCCGCCCGUUGAGGACGGCUUUUCCACGGUGUAAGGAGCCGUGGGAAUAAGGAGAGGGCAAGCCUGGUGUCAGCCGCCGCGGUAAUACCAGCUCUCCGAGUGGUGAGGACGAUUAUUGGGCUUAAAGCGUUCGUAGCCGGCUUAACAAGUCUUCCGUUAAAUCCAACGAUCUAAUCGUUGGGCCGCGGAAGAUACUGUUGAGCUAGGAGGCGGGAGAAGCCGACGGUAUUCUCGGGGUAGGGGUGAAAUCCUGUAAUCCCGGGAGGACCACCAGUGGCGAAGGCGGUCGGCU
rnacentral:rRNA from 1 species